AGAAAAUGUAUAGUUGAAACUCAUAAAGAAUGCCUGGAUAUCGAUAAUUUAGAAGACGUCAUUCAAAAUGUAAAAACCUCAAAUGCCUUCCACGAUAUUGAAGAAACAUUGGUUGAAGUAGCAGAAAAUUUAAAGAAAAUCAGUCAACAUCAGCAGAAGAAUCUGUUGAAUUUGAAAGAAAAAAGAAAACAAAUUGAAAAAGAAAUUCAAAAGACCCGUAAAACAAUCAACAACCAUCUGGACAAAUUACAAGGAGAUUUGAUAAAACAACUUAAUUCUAUUGAAGAAACCCAGAACUCGAAAAUUUGUCAGUUGUUGUCAUCACUUGAACAGAGAGAAAAAGAAAUAACCAAAUACCAGCAAAACCUUGCAAGCAUUAAACAACACGCCUCAGACCUUCAGAUUUUUCUUUCACUUAAGCAAAUCGAACAAGACAUUAAUAUAAAUGAUAAAUUCCUACAAUCCGUAGUGGAAGGUGAGGAAUUGAAGCAAUGUCAUCUAGAAUAUAGAACCAACAUUGCUAUUCAAGAUAUCAUGUCCAAUAUCAAAAGUUUUGGAGAAGUACAGAUUGAAACUAAACCAUGUGACAUCGUUCUUAGCAGGAAGAAGACUAAACAAGCACAGAUAAUGGUACCAAACGUUCAAACAAGAUCCAUUGAGAAUAUAAAGCUGGAGAUGCACAAAACAGCAGUAGCAACUGAAGGAAGAUACGUCUACGGGUGUUGCCUGAUACCAGAUGGUAGAAUGGCUUUUACUUACUACUAUGAUUGUGCGUGUUAGAGUUUUCAGUGAUAAAGGAUCAAAAGACUUUGAGGUGAAGAUGCCGUGUAAGUAUACGAUAUACUGUAUAUUAGUAAGGACGAUACAUUAGCCGUAACAUCUGGUGGUUCAAGUCAGCAUUGUAUUUUUAUUAUAAACGUGGAAAGAAAACAAAUCACGAGAACAAUUUCACUAGAUUCGGAAAUUUAUGGCAAAGCACUUAGAGAAAAUAUUUUAAUAUAUUCCGGUUAUAACAAAGGAAUCCGAAUGAUCAAUCUUGACGACGAGUCAAUUACUUAAAUAGUUCAAGAUAAAAUGCCAAGAUGCUGUUACAAUGCAAGAUUUCGGAACCAAAUCUAUCACACAAACUCAUACACACAAGCCGUUACUUGUUACGACCAACAAGGUAAACCACAAUGGACAUUCAAAAAUAUAAGCCUUCUGAAGUAUCCUCGUAUUGAUGUAGAUAUUGAUGGUAAUGUGUAUGUGGUAGGGAUGGAUUCGAACAAUGUUGUAGUUAUCUCCCCUGACGGACAACGCCAUAGACAAGUAUGAGCAGCAAGUGAUGGUCUUGAUUCUCCUUAUUCAGUUUGUUUUGACAAUUCAAACAAGCAGUUGCUAGUGACUAACUAUGAAAAUGAGGCACACUUAUAUGCAUUCAUUUGAAAAGAUUUUGGAUAAGCUAUUGUUUAUCAAUUUUGUAUCACAGCUAAACAUUUUCCGAUGAAAUGAUUUGUUUCAUAGACAUUAAUAAUGUUAUGGAAUAUUUUGAUUUUUUAAAUAUGUUUUUGUGAGAUUUUUUAUAAACAAAAUACAUCAAAUAGAACGAUUUUACACGAUCCAUUUUUUGAAAAAGUGUUUAUUUAUAAUUGACAAAGUUGCAAAAUAUUCAGGAUUCGGAAUUUUGUUAAAGAUCUUUUAAAUUUUUAACCUUAUUUGGGCAAGAGAUAUGUUUCCAUAAUGAAAAAUAUCAAUAUUAGCUUAUUAAUGUGUUAAAACUAUAUUUGGAGAUUAAACUUGCAUAUCUUACAUCAGUGUUAUAAUUUACAUUAUGUUAACGAAUUUUUUGUGUUGACAUAUGCACUGUAUGUUCUGAUCAGAAAGUGCAAAAAGAAUUUUGCCCUUUUCCAUUGAUUAUUGUAAAAAAAAUAUCUGAAAAUUUCAACGUCGAAGAAAGGUAUCUGAUUCAUCAAUUUUCAUUCUACAAUCAUUGCAAAAAGUAUGAUACAUAGCAAUCUAUUUAACCUUCUUAUUUAAAGUACCACAGGAAAUGGUUCGUUGGUUAGGUAAAGAGAAGUUUUACAUUCAUAAUCAAUAUUGUGCGCUUGAUUUAUAUAAACCACGUUCAGCUUACUAUACGGUGAAUGUUGUACUCAUAUCUGAAAACCACAGGUUUCCACGUACCUGUUAAUAUAACUGUUUCUUUUGUCUCUGAUAGAAUGCAGUGUCAUUGGCUACUACUUACCCAUUAAUUUCACAUUCAUAACGUUUAAAUAUAAUCAUAAACAUAAUGAAAUGAAAUAUGAUAACCAAUGAAAUAAUUAUUCCCCAGACACCAAAUAACAUGGAUGUUAGAAACUAUACUAAUCACCCUGCUCAUUUAAACAGUGAACACACCGUAUAGUCAGCUAUGAAGGCAGGGAAAUGACAUAAUGUUAACCAAGAAAACCAAUAGUCCGGCCGAUUGGUGCAGAUAGAUAGCAGAAUUGCUCACUUGAUGAGGAAAGCAUGAAACUUUGCAUAGUAGUUUUUGGUUAUGUACCAUUUGAUUUUAGCUAUGGACCCACUCUGAAAAAUCCAAUAUGGCUGCCAUUUUCAAGAUUGCGGAAAAACGGUAUAAAUAUCAAGAUUGUCCUAAAGGUAUUCUAUAUAAUUUUGGAAAUUAAAGUAAUGAUUCUUUAAAAAUGGACUUCAUAUUUUUGAAUUUGUUAUCAAUUAAUUUUAAAAUAUAAAAACAAAAUAAUAAGGUUAUUUCUAUAACACAUACAUUUGCAAAUAUGGCUGCAUAUACUAAAACAAAUAGUGAAAUUCAAAAUGUUAAUCAAUAUUUUACAGGUUAUUGUAAUUGUUCUUUAAACGCUUUCAGUUUUAAUGGUUGGAAUGAAAUAGGUUGAAACUAGUCGAUUGAACGUAAAUAUAGGUCGGUUAAAUGUGGUUGAAUAGUAGGUAACUCAUCUGAAUUUUUAGGUAGUGCCGAGGGCACCUGAAUCGUGUCUCUUCAAUGCCACGUCUUACGUCUCUUAUCGCGUUUUCAUCUACAUCGUAAAACUAUUCUAUGUAAUCAAUAGGUGUACCUUUCUUCAGGCGGAUUAGACGAUUGCCACCAUUUAAAAUGGUUAAGGGGCAACCAUUUCCUUUCCAACUACGUGCGAAACAAAUUUGCAAUUAUUCAGCGAUCAUGGUCCUACAUUGCACUCCUGGUCAGCGCUUUUAUUAGUUUUAAUGGUAACAGUUAUUUUUGAGAUUAGCGGAACUGUGAUGGUUCGUUUUAUGCAAACUUGCUGAGUUGAAAUCUCGUUUCUACUGUUAACAAAUGCCGCAUUUAUCACUUUAGUGUUGAUGGUAAUUGUGGGAGUACUCAGGUUUAUCACUGCAUUCAGUGUGUCCAGAAUAUCUAGCCUAAGUAUAACAUCGUCUGUUAAUGGCUCUUUGCACACAUCCCAUUGUAUGUUUACUCUAUUAAUUCCCAAUAACAAGCUGUUAACCCAAACCACGUAGCGUUACUUUGUCCAAAUCUCCAUUUUCUGCAAGUAUUAAUUUCUCAUUUACUAAUGUUAUCAUUGCAGCACUGUCCACAAUCAUGCUCACAUUCUUGUCAUGUAUAGUACCUCGUACUGCUAAGCUCAUUCAAAUGGUUUGUCUGAUGACAAUAUCGGACGAGGCCGUGGGCCUCUGUUCGAUUUUGUAAUGAGGUGAUGUUUUAUGGCCAAUAGACUUUAGAAUCGUGCGUUGGCCUACUGGCCCGAUCCUUCGCUGUUUAAAGACUCCAUUGUUGGGGUUGCGCUUUGAUAUGGUCCGUAUCCUGGUGAAGGUGACCGUUGUCUGAAAUAACCGGGAUUUCUGCAGUUUGUCCGUGAAGAUGAUAACCGUUGUCUUUAUAGACUAUAUGAUAUCUAGCUUAGUGGGAAGGGGGUGCGAUCGAUGGAUAUUAAGCUAGGAUGUAUUUCUAUCUGGCGAUCUACCGCGAUUGUAUUGCUCAGAAGAUCUUUCACGUGUUUAUUGAUCAGGUGAUCUUCCAUUGAACUGGUGAUCUUCCAUGAUUAUUUGAUAAGAAGAACCGAGGUUAUAUAUUAAUCGGCCAAUCCACGGUUAUGCUGAUUAGUUGAAAGCAUAAUAUCAGCUAGUUUUGUGACAAUUUAUGUCAGGCUAUGCACCUCAUUAUCCAAAUGACUGCUUAUAUUUCCUUUAUCGGUCGGUGAUACUGCGUCAUCAGCAAAGUAGACUUGUCGAUGGUCAUAAUUGGAACUUUUUGAUCCAUAUAUCGCCAUAUGGUUUGCUAUUGAGGUUUUCAAUUGUUUGGACGCCUUGUUUAAUGUUCCUGGGUUCCUGUCUAUUACAUGCCUUGCAGAAUCUUUGUCUUUACAUCCUCGACGGAAUGCUUCAGUUCCAAUCUGGUUUGAUCGUCUUUCUUGUCGAAGCGCUGCUACACAUAUUUUUUCUGUUUUCCCAUUUUCAUUUACCGGCAGUUCGUUCAAAUUGGUAAAUAAACGACUCCCAAGUCAUGGAUCCUCUUCAAUUAUGUUUUUGCAUUUUUGGAAGCUGUAGGCUUCGGCUUCGGUCCCAUGCACCAAUAUUUUCUUGCCAUCGGGUAUAUUCUCUCUCCAAUGAGGAGUCGGAAGAAGAGGUGUUUUCACACUCUUUUAGUUUCCUCUGCCCAUUCCUGGAUCGGUCAGUGGAGUCAGCUUGCUGUUAUGUGAAGCCUGUUAGAGCUCCAGGACCUGACGAGGUUGUCAUAAUUGGAGUGUUAAAUGUGGGAUUUACCAUUGACUCGACGGGGAUGAUACCGUAAGUAGGCACUGCAUUCAGCAUUGGAGAAACUUGAUAGAAUCAACUUGAAGCCAAUUGUUUCUGUAAUGGUGUGCGUAAGAAGACACAAGCCUUUUUCUAGUAUCCUUGAUAAGUAAUAGAGGUUUAUAGUAUGUUCUUAAAUGGAGAUUUUUGUUGAAUAAUUUGAACUGUCUCAUGCAGGGCCAAGGACCUUGACAUAGGACUUUUGACUUAAGGUGAAGAAACCUUCAAUCCACUAGCCCAGUAGUCAGCACUUCGGUGUUGACAUGAAUAUCAAUUAUGUGGUUAUUUUUAUAAAUUUUCCGUUUACAAAACUUUGAUUUUAUCGAAAAACUAAGGAUUUUCUUAUCCAAGGAAUAGAUUACUUUAGCCGUAUUUGAUACAACUUUUUGGAAUUUUGGAUUCUCAUGGCUCUUCAACUUCGUACGUGUUUGGCUUGAUACAUAUUUUGAUAUGACCGUCACUGAUGAAUCUUAUGUAGACGAAACGCGCGUCUGGCGUACAAAAUUAUAAUCCUGGUACCUUUGAUAACUACUAACAACUUCAACAGAGUUGGUGCGGUUGAUGGUUCAUGUGAACUACAAUAAGGGAAAAACCAAACGCAUGGAUUUUGUUGUGUAUUUUUGGUAAACUUGCGUUGUACUGGCUAAGGUCAAAUUUUGGCUUAGAUGAUGUGUCCAUUGCAGGAAGUUUAACUUCUUUAUUUCGAUUGUCCACUUAUUCAUUUACAACCGAUGCCAGUUGUUGGAAAGUAUCCUGUUGUUCAAAUGCACUUUUAAAUUGAACUGUGUCUCUUUCUUCAGUUGUUGUCCAUUCGUCUCACCGCAACAUUGAAUAUCUUAUUGGUAUGGCCAUCAAUUCCGCCAGGCAAUUAUUACUAGCCUUGUGGUCUAACCUGUCUUAAGACUGCUGAAUUUGCUGAGAUAUUGCUCUCAUCUGUUCGUAAUUAAUAUUUAUUGCUUCUUUCUGUUCAGCUUGAAACGUAAUGAGACCAACACAUAUUUUAUCAAUUCGCACUUCGCUCUGUUUUAUAUUGCAGUAAAUCUCAGCUGUUCUUUGAGCAUUAGAUUUACUAUCUGCUAGAAAUUCUUAGUAUAAUUGUUUAAUAGUCAUUUCUGAGCUGUCUUCUGUUAAAGCGUCUUCAGCUGUGGGUUUCGCCAUAUCCCAAAGUGAUUCAGUUUCUGCCAUUUCAAUGUUCUUGUCCUUGUUGUCGUCAAUUCCUGCCAUUUCACUGAUAUGUGUUUAAAUGAUUCUCAAUUCAGUUUAAUAUCUCAAAUUGCAAAAUAUUGCGACCCAGAAAUACGAUAGGCACUGCAUAAUAUCUUAACGCAAAUAAAUCCCAAAUCACAGCUUUUAUGUGUGACCCAAGAUAACAAAUAGUGCAACUUUUAAUGAAAGCUACUACUGCAGCCUUUUAUGAAAGCUACUACUGCAGCUUUUUAUGAAAGCUACUACUUUGUGUAUGAAAUGAAAAGCAAGGCAAAAUCAAAAAGGACAGAACUGGGACAUAUACUAAAUGACACUAUACGUCAAUAAAAUGCUUAUAUUCAGGUCAAUUCUCAAUAAUGAAUAUUUGCUUAUUUUUCAAGGCGGCUAUUUUGAAAAUAGCCGCCAUUUUGUAUUUCAAAGAUAGAUCAAAACAAAAUCUUUCUAAGAAUACCAAGUCAUUCAAAUAUGUUGAUUUUAGUGCGUUCAGCAUCAAAUCCACUGUGGUUUGUGCAAUACUAUAAAAUAUUUUAGAACGUACGGCAGCCAUCUUGAAAUAAGCCGCCAUAUUGAAUUUUGAGGGUGGGUCCAUAGCUUAUACUGCUCAGUCCAAAAAAAUGUGCCAUCAUGCAAAAAUUGGUGCUUUCCUCAUUAUUUGAGCAAUUUUUUCACCGAUCAGCCGGACUACAACGGUCUUCUGAAAGGUAAAAUAAUAAACGAAAAACAAAUAUGUUACACCAACCAACGACAACCACAAAUAAAUAGAGGCUACUGAUUAUUGACAGGUACAUAAAAAAAAUGUGACAGGAAUACUUUGUUAGCGUUCAAUUGUUCCCUAUCAGCGGUGGAACAGCACGUGUGACUCAACUUUAAAGAUGAUAGACUCUUUAAGAAAACAAUGACAAUAAAACAAGAAAACACAAACUUUAAAAUACAUUUUAUAUAUUUUAUCACCAUACUGAAUAUUAUUUGCUGUUGGGUCAAAAAAUAAAUCCAAAGAACGAUGCCUGUGAUUCCAGCUCAUAAGGAACAUACUUCAAUAGUUUUAUCUUUCAUAACAUGCCAUAUGCCAUAAUUAGCAUGAGAUAAACACAAUGAAGUCCAAAAAAUGUCUAUCCAGACUGAGAUUUGUCCAUACUUGUUUUGGAAUAAAACAUAUUACAAGUAUUAGAUUAUUAAACCAUUACAAAACACAGUGUUUUUUCCCAAGUCAACAUAUUUAAAACAGCUUAGAUUAACGAAUUUUGUAAAGAGUUUUCCCUUCAGUGAAGACAUUCAAUAUAUCAGUAUCUGUAUUUAACUAAAUUUAACUAGUAAAACAAAUAUGAGACUUUCUUGAUUUUCAAUGCUGACAAAACAUUAUACAGCGCACAUAAACGAAAAACAAGGGCUCUCAAAAAUAGAAUAAAAUAACUUUUUCAACACAUUUAUUUAAAACUCUAAAGUAUUAGAUCACUUACACAAUUCGUUUGUAAAAUAUAAAUGCUAUAUGUGCUCUUAUAUCAUAAAGUUUGGUUUGUAUAAUAAGACAAAAAGAGAUGAUAUUGUAAUUGAUUAUAUUUAUAAUUAAAUGCAAAUUUAAAUAUUCCCGCCAGAUAAAAGUUUUUAUAACGAUCACGUGACCAAUUACCAUCCUAGUUGAAAUACCAUCCGGUGCGUAUUUACUAAGGUAACAAACAUAUUUUCUUAAUGUGUAUAUGAAUAAUUAUGCAAGCAAAUGCAAGUAGACAUUUAAAAUGAUUUAUUUGUAAAUAUUGACAGGCCUACAUGUACGUAUUUACCUUUGAAAAUAUCUACUUUCGUUUAAUGUCAGCUAGCUGUGUUGUUAUGUAUUUAUUUUGUUUUUCUGUCGUAUUUGGGAUACAAUUGAAAAAAUGACAUACUUUUGUGUCGUUUUACAUUUGGUCAUGUUGGUUCUAUUGUAGAUUACUUCAUGAUAUGGAUUUUUACAUUGUUGCAUACAAUACGAUGACGCGUAUGUCAUGUGAUAUCUUGUGGAUCAAUAAUAACUUCAUAUUUUUGUUUUUAUUUUUACAUUGAUAGUUUCUUUGUUUAUGUCUUAUUCAAGUGACAAUUUUUAUUUUUGUUUGUCGUUAAAAAGAUAUCUUCACCAGGAACACUGGAAGCUAGUAAGUGUAAAUGUACAUAAACAAGUACGAGAAAUAUGGUUCAAAGGGACAUAAUUAAGCCAAAUCCAUCAAAUAUAUUAUGGGCCAUAUAAUAUUCGAGUUUGGCAUCUUAUAGUCAUUAUGAUUUAGAAAGAAGGUAUGAACGAAGUUGACAUUGCAACAAUUAUUAUAAUUAUUCCAGACUAUGAAAACAAUGUUGAUUAAAUAAAUAAAUGAACAGGUUAAUAUAAGCUGGACACUUAAGUGCAGAAAGGAUCCUCUGGUUUUAUAAAUACUUCAACUUAUUAAACAAAUGCACUUUACAUAUUUAUGAUAUAGUUCUUGAAAAACAUAUGUGAACAAAGGAUUUAUACAAAAAUAUGUUUUACACAAAUUAACAUUUUAUUUAAUACAAUUUGUUACAAAAAUCAUUUUGGUAGAUGUCCCUGUUCCACUCUAAAUACUUUGGAAAAUAUCUCUACAAACUAUAGACUGUUUCAGGAUUUUUAAAGAUUGUUUUUAACAAAGAAGUUUACAACCUGAUAACAAUGCAAAUAGGUCAGACAGAAUACAAAACUAUCAUUACUAAUAAGUAUAAGCCAAAUGUCUAACAAACAAUUGUUGCAUGCUAUUUACUACAUGUAGGUUUUAAUUACUUUUUUAUUUUCAAGUUCAAGUGCACAAAAUGUUACCGCCUCCUUUAUCUACAUAUUGACAAAUAUUUUCAACAAAACAAAAUAAUUUGGGAACUUGUAUAUCUUUAAAAAAAGUUAUAUUGUAGACCGGGGAAGUUCUUCUGAACAAUAGCCUUAAUUAUAUUUGAUUUGAUAUUAUCUUGCAGUUUUGUGAUAUGGCCUCAUCCUCCCAAAGUUGUGGUGUGUGUGACCUCCGACACAAACAACAACCAUCAUAAUCUGGUGUACGGAAUGUGAUGAAGGACUUUGUCAAGAUUGUCAGGAACACCAUAGUUUAUCCAAGGGAACCAGAAACCAUAACACCAUAACAAUAAAGGAAUAUAAAACAUUACCAAGUGAAGUACUUAAAAUCUCUCAAUACUGUAGCACACACAAUGACAAAUUUAUAAUGUAUUGCCGGAAACACGAACGUCCCUGCUGCAGAAACUGUAUAGUGGAAACUCAUAAAGAAUGCCCGGAUAUCGAUAAAUUAGAAGACGUCAUUCAAAAUGUAAAAACCUCAAAUGCCUUCGACGAUAUUGAAGAAACAUUGGUUGAAGUAGCAGAAAAUUUAAAGAAAAUCAGUCAACACCAGCAGAAGAAUCUGUUGAAUUUAAAAGAAAAAAGAAAACAAAUUGAAAAAGAAAUUCAAAAGACCCGUACAACAAUCAACAACCUUCUGGAAAAAUUACAAGGAGAUUUGAUAAAACAACUUUAUUCUAUUGAAGAAACCCAGAACUCGAAAAUGUGUCAGUUGUUGUCAUCACUUGAACAGAGAGAAAAAGAAAUAACCAAAUACCAGCAAAACCUUGCAAGCAUUAAACAACACGCCUCAGACCUUCAGAUUUUUCUUUCACUUAAGCAAAUCGAACAAGACAUUAAUAUAAAUGAUAAAUUCCUACAAUCCGUAGUGGAAGGUGGGCAAAUGAAGCAAUCUCAUCUAGAAUAUAGAGCCAACAUGGCUAUUCAAGACUUCAUGUCAAAUAUCAAAAGUUUUGGAGAAGUACAUAUCGAAAGUAAGCCAUGUGACAUCGUUCUUAGCAGGAAGAAGACCAAACAAGCACAGAUAAUGGUACCAACCGUUCAAACAAGAUUCAUUGAGAACAUAAAACUGAAGAAAAACAAGACAAUAACAACUGAAGGACAAAGCGUCUACGGGUGUUGCAUAAUACCAGAUGGUAGAAUGGCGUUUACUUAUUUCUUUGAUUUGGCAGUUAGAGUAUUCAGUGAUACAGGAACAAAAGACUUUGAGGUGAAGAUGCCGUAUUACGUAUACGAUAUACUGUAUAUUAGUAAGGACAAUACAUUAGCCGUAACAUCUGGUGGUUCAAGUCAGCAUUGUAUUUUUAUUAUAAACGUGGAAAGAAAACAAAUCACGAAAACAAUUACACUCGACUCGUAUAUUUAUGGCAUAGCACUUAGAGAAAAUAAUUUAAUAUAUACUAGGAAAAUAUUUAAUACAUUACGGUUAUAACAAAGGAAUCCGAAUGAUCAAUCUUUCCGAUGAGUCAAUUACUCAAAUAGUCCAAGAUAAAAUGCCAGAUUGUUGUUACAUUGCAACAUUUCGGAACCAAAUAUAUCACACAAACUCGGAAACACAUGCCGUUACUUGUUACGAUCAACAAGGUAAACCACAAUGGACAUUCAAAAAUGGCAGCGUUCUGAAGAAUCCUCGUGGUAUUGAUGUAGAUAUUGAUGGUAAUGUGUACGUGGCGGGGUUCAAGUCGAACAAUGUUGUAGUUAUCUCCUUUGAUGGACAACGCUAUAGAGAAGUGUUAGCAGCAAGUGAUGGGCUUGAUCUUCCUAUUUCACUUUGUUUUAACAAUUCAAAGCAGCAGUUGCUAGUGACUAACUGGAAUAAUGAGGCCCGGCUGUAUGCUUUGAUUUGAAAAGAUUUUUUAAUUAUGUAUUAUCUUUAAUUUUGUAUCGUCACAGCUACACAUUUUUCG
rnacentral:lncRNA from 1 species